CACACACAGCAACUGGUGACGCUGAGAGGCCCCAAACCCAAGACCCUGAUCAAACAAAGCCUUAAACAUGAAGGAAGAGGAAUUCAGAAGAACUGGACCUGACUCUGAACUUAUUUAUCCUUGCAUAUCUCAAAAUUUAGGUUUCCUGCAUUAUUAGGUUUCCUUGCAUUUCUCAGUAUUAUAUUUCUAGAAAUUCACAUAAAGGCAAAAAGAUCAGAAAAUGUCCUUCACAAUCACACACUUUUGGUAUAAAUAUAAAAGGGAAUUCUGACUUUGAAAAUAUAAUAUAAGGAAAUAACACUCUUUCAAACAUAAUUGCAAAGGGAAAGGUCGGUGGACUUCAGACCAUAAGCCAAUAUGUCAAUCCAAGUAGGCCCCCCCAGGGAUAUGGUAGUUCUUUUUCUUUUUCCCAAUUAAAGUGCCAAACAUUU